rnacentral:rRNA from 1 species
AUUAAAGUUGUUGCGGUUAAAAAGCUCGUAGUUGGAUUUCGGGACCGCAGAGGAACGGUCUGCGCUGCCUUCGAGCGGCGUGUGCACUGUCCACUCGGUCUUACGUUGCUUCUGGAUGCUCGGCCCUGCUCUUAAUUGAGUGGGGCUCAAGGGCUCCCCGGGUCGGGCUUCGGCCUGGUUCGGGGACCCGGAGUUCCAGAUCUAUUACUUUGAGAAAAUUAGAGUGUUCAAAGCAGGCUGUUCGCAGCCCUGAAUACAUUAGCAUGGGAUAAUGCGAUUUGGACUUCGGUCCUCAUCUCGUUGGUUUCUGAGGUGCGCCGAGUCAGGAUUAAUAGGGAUAGUUGGGGUGAUUAGUAUUCAGGCGUCAGAGGUGAAAUUCUUGGACCGCCUGAAGACUAACUUGUGCGAAAGCAUUUCACAAGGAUGUUUUCAUUAAUCAAGAACGAAUUUGGGGGAUCGAAGACGAUCAGAUACCGUCGUAGUCUCAACCAUAAACCAUGCCGACCAGGGAUCGGGAGACGUCGUAUUCCAAGGACUCCCCCGGCACCUUGUGAGAAUCAUAAGUGUCUGGGCUUCGGGGGGAGUAUGGUCGCAAGGCUGAAACUUAAAGGAAUUGACGGAAGGGCACCACCAGGAGUGGAGCCUGCGGCUUAAUUUGACUCAACACGGGGAAACUCACCAGGUUCAGACAGCAGAAGGAUUGACAGAUUGAUAGCUCUUUCUUGAUUUGCUGGGUGGUGGUGCAUGGCCGUUCUUAGUUGGUGGAGUGAUUUGUCUGGUUGAUUCCGUUAACGAACGAGACCUUAACCUGCUAAAUAGUUACGCCAGCCUUCUCGUUACGCCCUGGCUCGUGGGUUUCGGCCUGCGGAUCGGGGUGGGAACGGCUGAGCCGGUAACUUCUUAGAGGGACUAUUCGCGUCUAGCGAAUGGAAGUUUGAGGCGAUAACAGGUCUGUGAUGCCCUUCGAUAUCCUGGGCUGCACGCGCGCUACACUGACAGAGUCAACGAGUUCAAACAUGGCCUUGGCCGAUGGGUCUGGGUAAUCUUGUGAAACUCUGUCGUGCUGGGGAUAGAUCAUUGCAAUUAUUGAUCUUCAACGAGGAAUUCCUAGUAAGCGUGAGUCAUCAGCUCGCGUUGAUUACGUCCCUGCCCUUUGUACACACCGCCCGUCGCUCCUACCGAUGGACGAAUCGGUGAAGACCUCAGACGGUGACACCGGGCGCCGAGCGGGGCAACUCGCUGGCGUCUUGCUUGCCAGAAGUAGUCUAAACCACUUCGU